CUGCUAUCGAAAGCUAUGACUUAUUCUUUCUUUGUAAAUAUAUGUUUGUACCCAUUAACUAACCUCUCUUUAUCCCCUCUCCAACCUUCCCAGGCACUGGUAACUACAAUUCUAUUAUCUACCUCCAUGAGAUCAACUUUUUCUGCUCACCCAUAUGAAAAAAAAUAUAAAAAAUAUGUUUAUUAGUCAGAGUGUGCUCUCUUUAAUCCUGGCUGUCUGAACACCAUGCAUCUCCACGCAUUCUGCACAAAUAAUUUUAGACACUGCUGACAAUCCUCCUGCUUCAAUCUCAACAUUCAGCCAAAGAGAUAAGAAAAGGUAUGACACAGAAAAAAUGGAAACAUAAUUUUAGAAUAAAAGGAAUCAUCAGAGGAUACAAAGCACCUCAUUCAAGACAGAAACGAAGUACUCAGUAGAAAAGUUGGAAGUUAGGUAAGUUAUCCUAAAA
rnacentral:lncRNA from 1 species